AACGGGGGGGGCCAGCGUUAUUCAAAUACUAGGCGUAAAGGGUGCGCAGAUGUUUUUUUUAAAGUAUUUUCGAAAGGCUAGAUUUAAAAUUUAGUUAGGAAGUACUACGUAAUUAAUUGAGUUAUGAACAGGUUUGUUAGAAUUGUCGGCGUAAGGGUUAAAUCUUGCCAUUCCGAUUAGAAUACUCGUGGUGAAGGCGACGCUCUAGUUUAUAACUGACGUUGAGGCACGGAGGUCUGGGAAGCCAACAGG
rnacentral:rRNA from 1 species